CCUUGCUAUUUUCUUUCCUGAUCAUUUUCUAAUUUUCUUCCAAAAAUGUUAUUUGUGUGGUAACCUAGCCUAUAAUUUCUACUUGGAAAUUUCAGCUGAUCAUGUGGCCAACAAUUUGCCAAGAUGUCUCUUUUUCCGGUACGUACCGGCUGUACGUUCUGUAAGAAACACUUCAGAACAAAUCAGUCUGGUAAAGUUUGAGCUUCGUUGUUGCUGCCCAAUGUACAUAUGGAUUUGAUGCAGCCAGCUGAUAAAGGGUGUUCCUCUUGCUACCUGUAGGCUACUCCACUGCUGUGUGUUUUGUCAAAUGGAGAAACAUUAGAAACUGAAUGUUCAUUGUUCGCGUAGUUGCUGUCCGAUGUGGCACGUUGUUGAAGCCUAUGCUGGUGAAAGAUUUUUCUACAUCAAGUUCAAUUGGCCGUUCCUUGUUGCUGAUUUUGAAUUACCGAAGCUGCAUCAUAUUUUGUUAAAUUGUCAUCGUGACUAUUGCAGUUUACCGUUUAUAAGUUCAGAAGCAACAAAAACAAA